UUUGCAUGGAAGGUCACCUCCCUCUCUCAGAGGAUGAAGAGGGGAAGGGAGAGAUGAGGGGAGGCUCUGCUCAGCUGAGGGGCCACUGAAGACAGGAUCCGUGAUGACCUCCACCAUGGGCUGGUUCCCUCUGCUCCUCACCCUCCUGGCUCACUGCACAGGUUCCUGGGCCCAGUCUGUGCUGACUCAGCCGGCCUCAGUGUCUGGGUCCCUGGGCCAGAGGGUCACCAUCUCCUGCACUGGAAGCAGCUCCAACAUCGGUAGAGGUUAUGUGGGCUGGUACCAGCAGCUCCCAGGAACAGGCCCCAGAACCCUCAUCUAUGAUAAUAGUAACCGACCCUCGGGGGUCCCUGAUCGAUUCUCUGGCUCCAAGUCAGGCAGCACAGCCACCCUGACCAUCUCUGGGCUCCAGGCUGAGGACGAGGCUGAUUAUUACUGCUCAACAUACGACAGCAGUCUCAGUGGUGGCACAGUACUCCAGGCGUGUGGGGAAGUGAGACAAAAACCCACUUACCCAUUUGCAAAGUGAGUGAGCGCCCCAGCA